rnacentral:rRNA from 1 species
UGUACCUGGUAGUCCACGCUGUAAACGAUGUCGACUUGGAGGUUGUGCCCUUGAGGCGUGGCUUCCGGAGCUAACGCGUUAAGUCGACCGCCUGGGGAGUACGGCCGCAAGGUUAAAACUCAAAUGAAUUGACGGGGGCCCGCACAAGCGGUGGAGCAUGUGGUUUAAUUCGAUGCAACGCGAAGAACCUUACCUACUCUUGACAUCCACGGAAUUCGCCAGAGAUGGCUUAGUGCCUUCGGGAACCGUGAGACAGGUGCUGCAUGGCUGUCGUCAGCUCGUGUUGUGAAAUGUUGGGUUAAGUCCCGCAACGAGCGCAACCCUUAUCCUUUGUUGCCAGCACGUAAUGGUGGGAACUCAAAGGAGACUGCCGGUGAUAAACCGGAGGAAGGUGGGGAUGACGUCAAGUCAUCAUGGCCCUUACGAGUAGGGCUACACACGUGCUACAAUGGCAUAUACAAAGAGAAGCGAACUCGCGAGAGCAAGCGGACCUCAUAAAGUAUGUCGUAGUCCGGAUUGGAGUCUGCAACUCGACUCCAUGAAGUCGGAAUCGCUAGUAAUCGUAGAUCAGAAUGCUACGGUGAAUACGUUCCCGGGCCUUGUACACACCGCCCGUCACACCAUGGGAGUGGGUUGCAAAAGAAGUAGGUAGCUUAACCUUCUGUGAC